rnacentral:rRNA from 1 species
UACGUAGGGGGCAAGCGUUGUCCGGAUUUACUGGGCGUAAAGAGCGUGUAGGCGGCCAAGCAGGUCCGUUGUGAAAACUGGAGGCUUAACUUCCAGACGUCGACGGAAACCGCGUGGCUAGAGUCCGGAAGAGGAGAGUGGAAUUCCUGGUGUAGCGGUGAAAUGCGCAGAUAUCAGGAAGAACACCAAUGGCGAAGGCAGCUCUCUGGGACGGUGCUGACGCUGAGACGCGAAAGCGUGGGGAGCGAACAGG